CUAAUAGCUGCUGGGGAGAGGCAGAGGCUUUCUUCAGGGGCACAGCCACUAGUCACCUCCAAUGCACCUAUAAAUAAUGCUAAUAAUUCAAUGAGUCACCAAAAGAAAAAAGACAGGGAGCACCAUAGUCUGGAAGAUGGCGGACAUCCCUGCAAGUGCAGUCCUCUCGGCCAUAGAAGAUGAAAGGUCGGUGGUAAAGACACAGAGAGAAAACGUUCACAAAUCUACCACAGGAGCCUCGGUCUGCUAAGGCUAGAAGCACAGCACAAACUCACAGUGGGGAAAGAAAACUGCGGCUGCACGUACCCCGGGAAGGAAGGUGAAGAAAUUGUACUUCUGGUUGUUGAUGACAUUUCGAGGGUAUCGCUGGUCCCUCUUCUCGGGGUGUCCCAAC